rnacentral:rRNA from 1 species
UACGAAGGGGGCUAGCGUUGUUCGGAAUCACUGGGCGUAAAGGGCGCGUAGGCGGCUGCUCAAGUCGGGUGUGAAAGCCCGGGGCUCAACCCCGGAACGGCACCCGAGACUGGGCGGCUCGAGACCGGGAGAGGAGGGUGGAAUACCCAGUGUAGAGGUGAAAUUCGUAGAUAUUGGGUGGAACACCGGUGGCGAAAGCGGCUCUCUGGCCCGGUUCUGACGCUGAGGCGCGAAAGCGUGGGGAGCAAACAGG